UACGUAGGCAGCGAGCGUUGUUCGGAGUUACUGGGCGUAAAGGGUGUGUAGGCGGUUCUUUAAGUUUGGUGUGAAAUCUCCCGGCUCAACCGGGAGGGUGCGCCGAAUACUGAGGGACUAGAGUGCGGGAGAGGAAAGUGGAAUUCCGGGUGUAGUGGUGAAAUGCGUAGAGAUCCGGAGGAACACCAGAGGCGAAAGCGGCGUCCUGGGGUGAGGUUGACGCUCAGACACGAAAGCAUGGGGAGCGAACGGG
rnacentral:rRNA from 1 species